rfam:TPA: Bos taurus chromosome 4, whole genome shotgun sequence.
UCCCUGGUGGCUCAGAUGGUAAAGCGUCUGCCUACAAUGCAGGAGACCCGGGUUCGAUCCCUGGGUCGGGAA